rnacentral:rRNA from 1 species
UUAGGAAUAUUGGACAAUGGGCGCAAGCCUGAUCCAGCCAUGCCGCGUGAGUGAUGAAGGCCUUCGGGUUGUAAAGCUCUUUAGUCCACGAAUAUAAUGACUGUAGUGGAAGAAUAAGCCCCGGCUAACUUCGUGCCAGCAGCCGCGGUAAUACGAAGGGGGCGAGCGUUAUUCGGAAUCACUGGGCGUAAAGCGUGCGUAGGCUGUUUUGUAAGUCAGAAGUGAAAGCCCAGGGCUUAACCCUGGAAUUGCUUUUGAAACUACAAGACUCGAAUUCGGGAGAGGAUAGCGGAAUUGUCAGUGUAGCAGUGAAAUGCGUAGAUAUUGACAGGAACACCAGUGGCGCAAGCGGCUAUCUGGACCGAUAUUGACGCUGAGGCACGAAAGCGUGGGGAGCAAA